CCCCCCAAUUUGUGUUGUGAUGUUGGCGCGUAGCAUUUUGUUCGUUACGGUUCCCCGAACCAAGUCCCCCCCUCCAACUUUAGGUGACGAUGACAUCGUUCAGGGGGGCAGCAGCCGUUUUUUCAGUACGAUUUAAUUGCACUAACUUGUUUUGUUUUUUGUUUUGCUUUUGUUUUUGUUACCAAAUGGUGAACCUUUUGUUUAUUUAUGCAAAUUACCAGCGGCGUUUCGGUGGUUGUGGUGAAGGCUGAUAAGCUCCCUUUCUGCCCUCUGUCUCUGCCUCUGCCUCUCUGCCUGUACGUAAUGAUUGUGAAUCUGCCCCGCGGCCCAAGAGAUUGGGAGAUUGUGAACAGCAAGAUUUGAAGCCAGUUUUCUCAAUUUCGAUUCCACAAAAAUUUAUUAAAAGAGGAAUUGACAAAAAGCACCUAUAGAACAUUAGUAUGGAAUUAUAAGGGCUUUACCAAUCAAUCGUGGCUAAGAAUCAUCAGUAAUCAAAUCUAUAGGCUGUCGCUUUUAAGCAAUUAUGGCGAUAAGGGAUUCGAGAACGGGCCUAUUUCCCUGCGACUUUCACGAUACUGCGGUUUUGUGCACUGUCGUAGGCGUUGCUUAAAGAGGGAACAGGUUUGCGCCUGAAAGUAUUUACGUGCAACCAGUUGGGGCUCCAACGGCAGUUUUCCCCACCCCAGCGACAAGGCCUGGUUGGCCCUACUAUGGCUUCGGGCAUGGCUUCCGCUUUUAAUUACAUGCAGCGGGGGUGAGGCAGAGAGGAGGCGAGAGGUAUCCGUUGUAAUUAGAACGUGGCUUCGAAAUUUUAUUUUUUGGAUCCGAAAACAGCGAGCCCUAACUGUAUCCGACAUAUUUGUCUUUCCCGCUGCUGACAUUGCUAAUUAACAAGUGGUGCUCCGUACAAUUAACCUUAUGGCGUUCCGUAUGUAAAUGUAUUUCCCCCAGACGAUCAGAUAGAUUCUAGAAGAACAACAACUACCGAACAACCAAACCCAAUUAUUGACAAUACAGAAACGAUUAUGAAUCACUUGUUGACUAUGAAUUUCCAGUUUCCUCUCCAGCGUGGCGUACAUCUGGCAAAUGGCAAAUUACACAUUAAGUAACAAAUGGAAUUGUCCCUCAAGAGGAAUGAAAUGCCAUUAUGAUGAAGGAAAAGCUCUCGGUAGCGCGGAUUUGGAAAGCAGCAUGCGUCACACUUGAGUUAAUUCGCAAAUUAUCAUCCCACUUAUCCACCACCCCACAGGGAAAAAUCUAAUGAAAGCCCCCUCCUCGUUCGCGAACGGAUCAGCAUGGAAGUUGUUUCCACAGCUGGCCAAGCAACUGGGCUGUGAGAUCUUUGGUUCUGCGAGAGUAUCAGGCGGAUAAAUAUUACACAUUCUAUAUGUAUAUACAUACAUAUGUAUGUACAUAGAUAACUAAAUAUUAAAAAUCUGUAUAUUCGAUUGGAAAAUAGGGACGCCAUUAUUGUGUUCUUUAUUUCGUGUGUGGCUAACCGCAAACAGGCAGCGUAGUCAAUAUAAUCUCCAUUAAAAAUCGUAUCUUGAUUA